UGGGUUGUCUGGUGUUUUUCUUCAUGAUCGUGGUGCUGCUGUUGAUCCUGUACUGGAAGCUUCCGCUCUGCUGCAAAAUGAGGGUUUAUCAGGAAUCUCGUUCUGACGUGGAAUCUCCUCCUCAGUACUACAACAGCAGACAGACUCUAGUUGCUUCGUCUGAUGCUGAGCAAACACAUGACACUGGUCUUGAUCAUGUGGAUGCGCAGUUAUAAACCUGUAUGACCAAUAGGCACCGAAAUACUUUUCCUGAAUGGAAAGAUGUCCAGGUUUGGAACAACAUGAGGUCGGGCUCGUUGUUCCUCAUUGGUGUGCCGAGCAGCUACUACCUUUCCUCACUGGAGCCUCCUCUUCCUCGUCUGCCCUCGUAUGAGAGCGUUCGCAAGAAAGACAGACAGCGGCAGAUCCACAUCAUGAUAGCCGACCGAUUUGGCCUUAACGGACCUGUUGUGACAGAGCCGCCUCCCACAUAUGAGGAGAGCAUCCGUCAGUCUGUCCAGUCCAUUGACGUCCCGUUUGACAUCCUGGCACCCGAGGAGGAGCCGCCACAUGCACCAGUCACAGUCUCUGAGGCCGGCACAGAUUUACCUGCAUAUGAAGAUCUACCUCAAAUCACAGACUCACAAGAUCCCAAUACCACUCUUAAUUAAAGCGUGCUCAUGCACGGGAAGAAUGCGAUCUAUCCUCAGAGGAAAAUGAACUGCUGUUGAGCUGCCGCUGCCUCGAUGAGCGGCCGGCGUGUGCGUGAAUCCACUGUGCUCGCAAAAGACACCAAAAUAGGGUAGGACUCGACCUAUGCAAUAACUUGCACUAGCAAGUAGGAGAAGGAUGCUGCACCACUACUGGAAGAAACGGAGAGAAGAACAAGAAUAUGCCAUUUGAAUUAUCUAUUUAAGUUCUAUCUGUUCAAAACGAACAUGAAUCUGCUACUUUAUAGAAUUAUACUGACUAUAGAUAUUUCAGUGACUUUUCCAAGCCUAAAAAUGUAGAAAUUACAUCACAGAAUCUGCAGAAAAACUAAUUUAAGGAGUGGGGAAUGUCGAUUUCAGUUUGAUUAUAAAAAGUGACAUGAGGUAUGAAAACAAAUGUGUUUUUUUUUUUUUUAGAAUAACAUCCACUUAUCAGUCGUUCACAGUAACACUAGUGGCAUUUAUUAACUUUAAAUAAAUCUAUUGUGAGUUCAUGAUUAAUUAUUUCA
ensembl:lncRNA